CUGGUGUCAGCCGCCGCGGUAAUACCAGCACCCCGAGUGGUCGGGACGAUUAUUGGGCCUAAAGCAUCCGUAGCCGGUACUGCAAGUCUUCCGUUAAAUCCACCUGCUCAACAGUUGGGCUGCGGGGGAUACUACAGCGCUAGGAGGCGGGAGAGGCAAGCGGUACUUAAUGGGUAGGGGUAAAAUCCACUGAUCCAUUGAAGACCACCAGUGGCGAAGGCGGCUUGCCAGAACGCGCUCGACGGUGAGGGAUGAAAGCUGGGGGAGCAAACCGGAUUAGAUACCCGGGUAGUCCCAGCUGUAAACGAUGCAGACUCGGUGAUGGGCUGGCCUUGUGCCAACCCAGUGCCGCAGGGAAGCCGUUAAGUCUGCCGCCUGGGGAGUACGGUCGCAAGACUGAAACUGAAAGGAAUUGGCGGGGGAGCACCACAAUGGGUGAAGCCUGCGGUUCAAUUGGAGUCAACGCCGGGAAUCUUACCGGGGGCGACAGCAGAGUGAAGGUCAAGCUGAACAUUUUAACAGACUAGCU
rnacentral:rRNA from 2 species